UACGGGGGGGGCAAGCGUUGUUCGGAAUUACUGGGCGUAAAGGGCUCGUAGGCGGCCAACUAAGUCAGACGUGAAAUCCCUCGGCUUAACCGGGGAACUGCAUCUGAUACUGGAUGGCUUGAGUUCGGGAGAGGGACGCGGAAUUCCAGGUGUAGCGGUGAAAUGCGUAGAUAUCUGGAGGAACACCGGUGGCGAAGGCGGCAUCCUGGACCGACACUGACGCUGAGGAGCGAAAGCCAGGGGAGCAAACGGG
rnacentral:rRNA from 1 species